rnacentral:rRNA from 1 species
UACAGAGGGGGCAAGCGUUGUUCGGAAUUACUGGGCGUAAAGGGCGCGUAGGCGGCCUGCUAAGUCGAACGUGAAAUCCCUGGGCUCAACCCAGGAACUGCGUCCGAUACUGGUUGGCUUGAAUCCGGGAGAGGGAUGUGGAAUUCCAGGUGUAGCGGUGAAAUGCGCAGAUAUCGGUAGGAACACCAGUGGCGAAGGCGGUCGUCCUGGGGCAUUCUUGACGCUGAGGCGGCGAAAGCUGGGGGAGCAAACGGG